AAUCAGAUGCACUCAUGUGUGAUUUAGAAGGCGAGCAGGCCUUUGGGAUUUUCUGCUGGUAAGGAUGGCUUUGGAGAUGCUGGGUCUCCGCGGGCUUGCUUCUGGCCCUGGGCCUCAGGCUCCAGGCUCCAGCCUCAGGGCCUCGACCAGUAGCUCUGCAGCUGAAGCGGUUUCCAAUCCCUGGGUCACAGCUGAAAGGUCAUGUUCUUGAACUAGCAGUUCCAGCGGUGGUUGUGAUCCCCUAAUGUCAGACGGUAGCACAGCUGGGGCCAGGUUCCGCCGUGUUUUUCUGAGCUCAUCCUGGAGGCUCAGCCCAGACCCACUCCACCAGCCCACGCAAAGAUUUUGUAGCACCCAAGGCCCUGUAUUUUUUUUUAAGAUUUUAUUUAUUUAUUCAUGAGAGACAGAGAGAGGCAGAGGGAGAAGCAGGCUCCGUGCAGGGAGCCCGACUCAGGACUCGAUCCCGGGUCUCCAGGAUCAGGCCCUGGGCUGAAGGCGGCGCUAAACCCAUGAGCCACCCGGGCUGCCCCCAAGUCCCUGUAUUAAAUCUCCCCUCCUGCUUAAAAUACCUACCUAGAGUGACUUCUGUUCCCUCUAACAGGAGACACAAGGCAGAGAACAAAAGAAUGAAUGAAAUGCAGAUGAAGUGCCUGGCAUGGGUGUUGCAGCCUUGCUGCAGACAGAGAAGAGAAGCAGAGAGGUCUCCAAUCCCAGGUGUCAGAGACCAAUGAGAUUCCAUGUGUCCUAGGAAGCAAAUAAAGCAGUGCGGUGCCAUGGGGAGAGCAUGGAUCCUGGGGAUGCCAGGUCAGACAGGUGAGACUCCAGACCUCGUGUGGCUUAUACUCUGGCAAGGGACACAGAUAAACAAGUGGAUAAAAUAAUUUCCAAAAGUGAUAAGUGCUGCCAAAAGGAUGGUAGCAUUGGAAUAAAAAGUGACAGGUUGGCCCAGAGAGGCCUCUCAGAGGAGGUGACAAUUGGAUUGUUAAUGGAAGGAUGAGGAUGCAGCCAUGGGAGGAUCUGAAGGAAAGAAGCAAAGUUUCUUUGCUUUCAUCCAAACCAGUGCAAAGUUCUCAGGGCAGGAAAGGACUUGACAUGUCCAGGGAGCACACAGAUGCAGGAUGGCUAUGAUAGAUAAGCAAGAGAAGAAGGGAGGAGACAGGGUCCCAGAGGAAGGCUGAAGAGGACAUGAAAACUCUCAAUCAACCAGAGCCUUUGAUUAACCAGAGCGUCCUUCCCUCCAUGCUCAAGCAUUAAUGCCAUUCAUUACUUUGGUAAAUGAGUGAGUAGUGUGUUAAAACUCAGACAUCCUAAGUUCUGGCUCCCUAGGAAAGAUGUGUAGCUGGGGAAGGGAGCUGAAUCAAAUAAAGACAGGGAUUACUGGCUACCAAACACCAGACAGAAGGGGCUAAACAUCCUUCUCAAUGGAAGGAAGUGAAGGGUAAGGAUGGGGGUGGAGGGAGAAAAUUUCCAGAGGAUUCCACGUCAGAUUCCAAAUGAAGCAGGACUUUUCUGGUGGCAGGUGACAGUGACCUAACCUGAACUGGUCUAAAAUGAGCAUUAUUGACAUAAGUAGCUGA
rnacentral:lncRNA from 1 species